UACAGAGGUCUCAAGCGUUGUUCGGCUUCAUUGGGCGUAAAGGGUGCGUAGGCGGCGCUGUAAGUCGGGUGUGAAAUCCCGAGGCUUAACCUCAGAAUUGCUUUCGAUACUGCAGUGCUUGAGGACUGGAGAGGAGACUGGAAUUCAUGGUGUAGCAGUGAAAUGCGUAGAGAUCAGGAGGAAGACCAGUGGCGAAGGCGGGUCUCUGGACAGUUCCUGACACUGAGGCACGAAGGCCAGGGGAGCAAACGGG
rnacentral:rRNA from 1 species